rnacentral:rRNA from 1 species
UACGUAGGGACCAAGCGUUGUUCGGAUUUACUGGGCGUAAAGGGCGCGUAGGCGGCAAUUCAAGUCAUCUGUGAAAUCUCCGGGCUUAACUCGGAACGGUCAGGUGAUACUGCUUUGCUAGAGUGCAGAAGGGGCAAUCGGAAUUCUUGGUGUAGCGGUGAAAUGCGUAGAUAUCAAGAGGAACACCUGAGGUGAAGACGGGUUGCUGGGCUGACACGUGACGCUGAGGCGCGAAAGCUAGGGGAGCAAACGGG